AUCCGGCAGGAAGUAAUCAAUUGGAGUAAACCCCGCAUUGUUGGCCUCUUGUUCCCGGGCGUCUUUUUGACAAGCGACAAUGGGGCGUUCGUUCACCCCUCAUCCUUUUUAAUGUCUGCGUUCCCCACCCCCGGGGGCCAACCACUAACUAUGGUGAAGUCCUUGGGAAAACCCCUGUUUUCGAAGCGGCAAAANCUUCUCGCGGANUUUCUUAAAUGGGUUUCCCUUGGUGACUUGUUGACCAAGUUUCGGGCCGAUUUCCCGUGGUCCAAGUGUCCCAAGGACUAUGGUGUUUAUGAAUGACACCAAGAGUAUGUUUAAAGAAUGUCAUCAAUGAGGUAACUUGUUGUUCCCUAAAGUAAUCGAGUACAAACCUCUUCAGCAGACCGGAUCUCAUUGGGCUUCUCGCAUCGAUUGACAGAACCGCCAGCGACACAUGCGAUUAAGCUAAUGUGAAUUGCAGAAUUCAGUGAAUCAUCGAAUCUUCNGAACGCACCNUGCGCUCCUUGGUAUUCCGAGGAGCAUGCCUGUUUGAGUGUCAUUAAAGUUCUCAACCUUGCCAGUCUUUCUUAUAAGCUUGGCUUAGGCUCUGGAUGUGGGGGUUGUGGGCUUCAUUAAUGAGGCUCAGCUCUCCUUAGAAUGCAUUAGCGGAACUUUUGUGGACCGUCUAUUGGUGUGAUAAUCAUCUACGCCGCUGGAUGUGAAGCAGAUUUAUGAAGUUCAGGCUUUCUAACCCGUCCAUUGACUUGGACAUUUUUGACAAUUUGACCUCAAAUCAGGUAGGACUACCCGCUGAACUUAAGCAUAUCAAUAAGCGGAGGAAAAGAAACUAACAAGGAUUCCCCUACGUAACUGCGAGUGAAGCGGGAAAAGCUCAAAUGUUAAAAUCUGCAGUCU
rnacentral:rRNA from 1 species